CUACUUACCUGGCAGAGGAAAUAACCAUGAUCACAAAACUGGUUCUCCUAGAGGGAGAUUCAACCCUUGCACAGCGGUUUUGUUGACCUCUUUGAUUUCCUCAAAUGCGGGAAACUUGACUGCGUAAUUUAGGGCAGUGGGGGACUGCGCGCGCGCCCUCCUCUG
ensembl:snRNA U1 U1 spliceosomal RNA